rnacentral:rRNA from 1 species
AUUGAACGCUGGCGGCAGGCCUAACACAUGCAAGUCGAGCGGUAGAGAGGUGCUUGCAUCUCUUGAGAGCGGCGGACGGGUGAGUAAUGCCUAGGAAUCUGCCUAGUGGUGGGGGAUAACGUUCGGAAACGGACGCUAAUACCGCAUACGUCCUACGGGAGAAAGCGGGGGAUCUUCGGACCUCGCGCCAUUAGAUGAGCCUAGGUCGGAUUAGCUAGUUGGUGAGGUAAUGGCUCACCAAGGCGACGAUCCGUAACUGGUCUGAGAGGAUGAUCAGUCACACUGGAACUGAGACACGGUCCAGACUCCUACGGGAGGCAGCAGUGGGGAAUAUUGGACAAUGGGCGAAAGCCUGAUCCAGCCAUGCCGCGUGUGUGAAGAAGGUCUUCGGGUUGUAAACUGCUUUGUACGGACGAAACGGUGAGCGUCUAAUACAGUUUGCUAAUGACGGUACCGUAAGAAUAAG